AUUGAACGCUGGCGGCAUGCCUUACACAUGCAAGUCGAACGGUAACAGGUUAAGCUGACGAGUGGCGAACGGGUGAGUAAUGUAUCGGAACGUGCCCAGUCGUGGGGGAUAACUACUCGAAAGAGUAGCUAAUACCGCAUACGAUCUGAGGAUGAAAGCGGGGGACCUUCGGGCCUCGCGCGAUUGGAGCGGCCGAUGGCAGAUUAGGUAGUUGGUGGGAUAAAAGCUUACCAAGCCGACGAUCUGUAGCUGGUCUGAGAGGACGACCAGCCACACUGGGACUGAGACACGGCCCAGACUCCUACGGGAGGCAGCAGUGGGGAAUUUUGGACAAUGGGCGAAAGCCUGAUCCAGCAAUGCCGCGUGCAGGAUGAAGGCCUUCGGGUUGUAAACUGCUUUUGUACGGAACGAAAAAGCUUCUCCUAAUACGAGAGGCCCAUGACGGUACCGUAAGAAUAAGCACCGGCUAACUACGUGCCAGCCGCCGCAGUAAAAC
rnacentral:rRNA from 1 species